rnacentral:rRNA from 1 species
GACGAACCGUGCGAACGUUGUUCGGAAUCACUGGGCUUAAAGGGCGCGUAGGCGGGCCGUCCAGUCGGGGGUGAAAGCGUUCGGCUCAACCGGACCAGUGCCUCCGAUACUGACGGUCUUGAGGGGGGUAGGGGCCUGCGGAACUUCCGGUGGAGCGGUGAAAUGCGUAGAUAUCGGAAGGAACGCCGGUGGCGAAAGCGGCGGGCUGGACCCCAUCUGACGCUGAGGCGCGAAAGCCAGGGGAGCGAACGGG